rnacentral:lncRNA from 1 species
GCCAGAUAGAUGGUGGUGGGCGGCGGGGGGGAGGGUCUUGAGGGAGCAGCACCCUUGUCUGAUGGGUGUCCAAAGCCAGGGGCAGGUGGAGGUGAGAGAAGGACAAGCUCUGCAAACGUUGCAGAAGUGUUCUGUCCGUGGAGAAGGCAUGGGACUUCCACGUGAGAGCAGCUUACUCCUGCUGAGAACUUUGGGGAGACAGAGGGGAGCAGCCAUCUCAGACCUAAGCGGCUAAGAAGCUGGGUCCCCCUCUGUCACACUGUGCAGAUCUGCUGGACUUUGCAGUAAGCAGCCUUCAGGUCUAAAGCCUCCAUCCAGCAGGCCUGCCAGAAAAUCAGUCUGAACUAUUCUUGAUUCACCUGAGAGACCAGGAGGAUUCCUUGGGGCGCAGCAAAUGGGAAGGAGGGCACUGUAUUUGCCCCCUUGUCAUGGUGGCCCGGUCCCUUCACCAAGAUCCAUUCUGGGUGUAGCAGUUUCAGUGAGCCACCAUUCCCAGGCCACUGGGUUUCCCAGUCGCCCUUCCCAGGCCAGGGGGCUGUGGCAGAGCCCGGGAUGGGGGACAGAACACGAGAGGAAAGACUCAGUGGAGUGAUGGAACGUGAGCUCAGAGACCCAAGGCCCAGGGUCCUACGACACUAGUGACUGGCUGGUCCCUGUAGGCAUGUGAUUGGCCACCAGGAGAGAGGGCUUGCAGAGCUGCAGGGAGGGCAAGGGCCUGGAGAGCCUCAUCUUACCAAGAAGAGCUUUGAAAGCUUCACGAGAUGCUGCUAGCAUUACAUGACCCAGAAACCAAGGGGCAGGUCUAGUCCUCCAAGUUAGAAAAGUAACCACUAGAAGCACUGAAAAUUAAUAAUGGGACAAUGUGGUGGAGUGGAGGGGGUAUGAGUGGGAGCGAAAUUUCAUCCAUCAUCUUGGAAAGUCAAUAGAUAAUGUCCAAAACUGAUGAAUCAGGAAAUAGUGGCAGACGUGCAUUAUUUAGAGAUAUGGGGCACUGCUGUGGACACAAGGCUGGAAGUUAAUGUAGAGGCCUCUGGGGA